ensembl:lncRNA
AGCAUGGCAGCAUCCAGGCAGGCAUGAUACAGGAGGAGCUAAGAGUCCUACAUCUGCAUCUGAAAGCUGCUUCCAGAAUAUUGGUUUCCAGGCAGCUAGGAUGACGUUCUUAUAGCCCACAACCACACUGACACACCUACUCCGACAGGUCCACACCUCCAAAUAGUGCCACUCCCUGGGCCAAGGAAGUCAGGAUGGGAACAACAGGGCAGGAAACUUGUUGGAGGUUGCUCUGGUGCUGUGUUAAAUUCUGACUCCCAAGAUCUGGUUGUUCCUUAACUUAAAGCUUUUGGUUAAAUAAAAGUGGCCAUAUCCAGUUAUUAGGGGAAAAGAGGAAAGUGGAACUUUGGUUACUGGGCCGGGGGGGUCACAGGUAGGGACCAUGAGAGGAAGAAGAGGAAAGAAAGGAGGAGAAGGAGAAAGAAGAUAGAGAAAACAGGAAAUCUCCAUGAGAGAAGAUGGACCAGGGGCACAUGGCCAAGUGAAAUGCCCCUUGAGGACAGACUGAUAGAGCAAAAAUUACCCAGACAAGACUCAAACUGAUAGGACUUGGGGAGCAUAGUUGGGAAUUAGCCAGUCUAGCAUAAUAAAAAAUAGAUUAGGGUUAUUUUGCCCAGUAGUUUUGAUAAAGCUGAUUAAAUAAAUCUAGUAGGCUUCACUCUCACUCAUGAGCUAGCUAGGGAUAGAAAUGAAUAUUUACUUUUUAAAAUGUAUUAACAGGACCUGAUGCAGGAGCUGAUGAAGAGGCCAUGGAGGAGUGCUGCUUACUGUCUUGACAUGGCACUCUACUAUUGAGUGAGGGGUCUUCUGAGUGGGAUUAGGAAACCCCAGGAAGCGCCUUCUACUCUGUGAGGACAAAUGGGACCAUCUAUGAUUUUAGAAAUGAAUAUGAUGAUAUCUUGAUCUUAAAGCUGCACGCACACUGAAGAGUACUGUGUUCUAUCAGUCAACACUAAGACAGGCGCCAUCCAUUCCUGAAAAACCCCCGGAGCAGACAGACCCUCACUCAAGUCUCGGGAUGACGUGACCCCCCAAAAACUCACGUAAGACCAUCCUUGCUGUAAUUAAACGAGGUUUAUUGAUAGGAACCAGUGCACUGGGGUCAAGACUCGUAUCUUACACAAGGGUAGAGGGGUUUGACCCAGAGUAGCUUAAAGAAGGGUUAUUUAAAGGAAGAAGCCACAAUCCAAGUGAGUAGGGAUGGCAUCAUUGGAAAAUAUCGAGAAUACCAGUGAGAAAUCACAAGGAGAAGCUUCCUGUCUCUCAAGAUUGCUUUUAAGAUUGUAAUCUAACUUUAUGGUCAGCUAGUUCCUGGGAGAAGCUUCCUGUUUUCUUUACUAGGUCGGGAUCAGUACUUAAGGGCCUUAUUUUAUGGCCUUUUAUCUAGUUCUAUACAGAGAGCAGGCUCAAGAAAUGUGACCUUUUACCUACUAACAGGCAGAGAGCAGGGUCUGGAAUUUGAG